CGGAUUUUGAUUUUCUGGUCGAGUUACAAUUCUAUUUGUUUGUUUGAUUAAAAUCAAUGUAGGGGGGUUUUAAAUUAUUAAAGUACUGCAAGGGGAAUGCAAUCACUACGUUACGUCUAGUUUUUAUCAUGAAUAUUUACAUUGAGAAGCCUUUGGAAAAAAUGAGUCCCGGAGAUGGGAAAAUUUUAAACAUGUGUACAUAUACACAUCAUCAUAUUGGUAUACCAUAACACUGUAUGGCAUGAGAUAACAAAAGAUAUGACAUACUUAUAUUCACGUCUAUAUCCUUUGUGGGGUAGACAGAGCAUUGAAAGACUGAAAGAUCACAUUCAGCUAUAAAAAAAUAAAAACAAAGCUCAAAAAGACCAAUAUUGAAUUACCUGUAUUUAUUUUUGGCUGACUGACUUGUGUUCAAAGAUGGUUCAACCAACAGCUAUGAAGUGAAAAAUAUAUGAAAAGAGAGUACCAACUCCACUAAAUGCAUGUUGUGUCCACCAGCAUAGCAAGUUCGCCAACAUGUGCACUCGAAUUUGUAUAAAGAAAUAUUGUGUGGUUCAACCAAUGACCAAAAUUUAAGAACACAUACAUACCUAUAUUGCAGAAGAAAUAACCCAUGAGAGGUAUAGAUCAGUAAAGAAUUAAUAAAUUGUUGAAGAUGAUUUGUCACUGAAUCAUUUGUGAUCCCAAUAUUGCAAGUGAAAAAAAAAGAAAUGGAAGGAUUAUGAGGGGUGAAGAUAAAAUUUGACAGUGAAAUGAUAAGAAUUGGAAAUCAAUUUACACUUAAGCAGAAAAGAAGAUCAGUGCCAAGCUAUAUAAAGACAUCUUUUGCACUAAUAAACUAUAGAUGAAUAUGCUGAUUCCUUAAGUCUUCUUUUACGAUAUUCAUUUUAAAGAGACAAAGUGAUGUUUUUUAUUGUAUUGUAUGAGCAGUAUGGUUCCUACCAUACUGCUCAUGUUGGAUCUUGCUAAAUGAAAAAGCAUUUCUUUGGUUAUAAUGAAACUUACUACAGCUUCUAAAGGCCAAGUGAAGUAGAACUGGCAGAAUAAACUACACCAUAUUAAUCGUCAAUUCACAAAUAUAGAUGUUUAGUCUACUGACUUAUAACAUACCUGGCAUAGCAUAUUAUUAUGUUUAAAGAAAGAAUACUGUGAAGGAAGAGCAUCAUGCUUCAGAGAACUAUUUCACUAAUAGUGGUUUAAAACAUUCACUUUGUAUUGUACUAUUUAUAAAUAAUACAGGUAUUAAAUGCG
rnacentral:lncRNA from 1 species